AUACUCACCUGGCAGGAGAGAUACCAUGAUUGAGCAAGUGGUCUUCCCAGCACAUCCAUUGCACUUCGAAUGCGCUGACCCCUGUGAUUUCCCCAAUUGUGGGAAAGUCGACUGCAUAAUUUGUGGUAGUGGGGGACUGUGUUUGCACUCUCCCCUG